rnacentral:rRNA from 1 species
CCCUACGGGCAUACUGGUUGUGUCCGGGUCGGCAAAUACCUUCUAUAACAACGACUUCGUCAACAACCAGGAGCAUGCUGAGGAUUCGGGAAGCAACAACUGGGAUGCCGGCAAUGUCACCGGCGGCAAUUACUGGAGCGGCCACGUGGCCAAGGGCAAUCCCAGCCAGGAUUGGCCGAGGAUGAUAAAAGGCGGUGGCAUGCUGGAUCACUAUCCGUUCCAGGAUGAGGGCGGAUGGAGAAAUGCCGCGGCAGCCGAAGUGUCGCCAGCGGCUGAUUUGACUGUUCCCUGAGAAUUAGCUUCCGGACGGCAUAAAACCCACCCCGUCGAAGAGGGCGGGGGGGC